rnacentral:rRNA from 1 species
CAGCCGCCACGGUAAUACGUAGGGUGCAAGCGUUAAUCGGAAUUACUGGGCGUAAAGCGUGCGCAGGCGGUUCUAUAAGACAGAUGUGAAAUCACCGGGCUCAACCUGGGAACUGCAUUUGUGACUGUAGAGCUGGAGUGCGGCAGAGGGGGAUGGAAUUCCGCGUGUAGCAGUGAAAUGCGUAGAUAUGCGGAGGAACACCGUUGGCGAAGGCAAUCCCCUGGGCCUGCACUGACGCUCAUGCACGAAAGCGUGGGGAGCGAACAGGAUUAGAUACCCCCGUAGUCCCUGUCUCUUAUAC